UACGUAGGGGGCAAGCGUUGUCCGGAUUUAUUGGGCGUAAAGAGCGUGUAGGCGGCCAUGUAGGUCCGUUGUGAAAACUCGAGGCUCAACCUCGAGACGCCGAUGGAAACCAUGUGGCUCGAGUCCGGAAGAGGAGAGUGGAAUUCCCGGUGUAGCGGUGAAAUGCGCAGAUAUCGGGAAGAACACCCGUGGCUAAGGCGGCUCUCUAGUACGGUACUGACGCUGAGGCGCGACAGCGUGGGGAGCAAACAGG
rnacentral:rRNA from 1 species